UAAUAAGAAACAAAAUAUUGUAUUUAGUUUCGACCUAAAAUUUUAGUGAUAAUCACUCUUAUUUU
rnacentral:tRNA from 1 species